rnacentral:rRNA from 1 species
UACCGGAGGCGGCAGUGGGGAAUGGUGGACAAGGGAGGCAAGCCAGAUCCAGCCCAGCCGCGCGGGUGACGAAGGCAUUCGGGUGUAAAGCUAAUAGUUGGGAAGAAGAAGAGAUAGUUAAUAAGUUAGGGGAAUGACGGUACCGAAGAAUAAGCACUGGCAAUUAUUG